rnacentral:rRNA from 1 species
AUGGAAGCAAAUCCCGUCAACCUUCGGCAGGCACCCUUUCCCAUCAAGUCGCCGCCACGUGCUCACUGCCGCAACAACUCCCGGCUCCACCUCCGGCCGAGUCGCCCACUCAAAAACCAAUCCCACCACCGCCUCCGCGUCCAGCGCGCUUACCAGAUGCCACUCUCCUGCUUCGCCAGCGGCCGGGCCGACUCCUCCGCCGCCAAGGCCUCCUCGGCGACGUCCGUCUACUGGACGCACCUCGGCGCGAUCAACCUGUCUUGGUCCCGCGCCGCGCUGGGCCUCGUCCUCACCGUCGACAUCGGCCUCGCCGGCGGCGCCGCGCCCACGCGGUUUGUCCUCCUGCCGCUGCUCCCGUGGCGGCGGCGCGGAUCCAAGCGAUUCUCCGGCGCGUCCGGACAUUCCGUCGCCUUCUCGUGGGACCUCUCGCGCGCCCGCCUCGCGCCGCGCCGGCCCGAGCCGCUGUCCGGGUACUUCGUGCUCGUGUCGAUCGACGGCGAGCUCGCCCUGGCCGCUGGCGACCUCCAGUCGUCCUUGCCUUCGCCGGCGGCGUCGGCUGGACUCCUCCUCUCGCGCCGCGAGAACGCCUACCCCCCAGGAUGCGGCGGCGCGUACACCACCACCGUGGCCGUCGCUGGCGAGGAGCACGAGGUGUCCGUCGCCGUGGAGGAGGCGGCCAUGUGGGUGGCCCUGGACGGCAAGAGGGCCCUCCAGGUCCGGCGCCUCCCGUGGAAGUUCCGCGGCAGCGAGAGGCUCGACCUCCCGCACGGCGGCCGCGCCGUCCGCGUCACGUGGGACCUCCACGGCUGGCUCUUCGCCCCGGACGCCGCCGCCGUCUUCGUCCUCCGUUUCGACACUGACGAGGCGAACCCGGUGGACGACGACGACAUGGAGGAUGGAGACGUCGGCAUGCACGCGUUAAGGCAGAACUCCUUCCGGAGCCGCCAUGCCGACAGCAGCGGCGAGAGCGAUAUGAGGGGAUCUUGGAGGCGCGGGCCGUUCAGGUCGGGCUCGGACUCGUCCCCGACGGUGUCCGUGGCGUCGACGUCCGCGGCGUCGUCGUCGGCCGGCAGCGUGGCGACGGUGACCGAGUGGGUCACGGCGGAAGAGGCCGAGCUGCGGGACGGCGGCGGCGGGUUCUCUCUGAUAAUCUACCUCUGGAAGAAGCGGAGGCCGCGGUGA